rnacentral:rRNA from 1 species
GACGAACGCUGGCGGCGUGCUUAACACAUGCAAGUCGAACGAAGUGGCGAACGGGUGAGUAACGCGUAAUCAACCUGCCCUUCAGAGGGGGACAACAGUUGGAAACGACUGCUAAUACCGCAUACUGAAGGAGGGGAUUGCGUUGGAUUAGCUAGCUGGAGGGGUAACGGCCCACCGGGGCGAUGAUGAGUAGCCGGGCGGAGAGGAUGAACGGGCGAAUGGGUACUGAGACACGGCCCAGACUCCUACGGGAGGCAGCAGUGGGGAAUCUUCCGCAAUGGACGAAAGUCUGACGGAGCAACGCCGCGUGAGUGAGGACGGCCUGCGGGUUGUAAAGCUCUGUUAAUCGGGACGCGGUACCGGAAUAGAAAGCCACGGCUAACUACGUGCCAGCAGCCGCGGUAAUUC